rnacentral:rRNA from 1 species
AGCGUACACGGUGGAUGCCCUGGCAGUCAGAGGCGAUGAAGGACGUGCUAAUCUGCGAUAAGCGUCGGUAAGGUGAUAUGAACCGUUAUAACCGGCGAUUUCCGAAUGGGGAAACCCAGUGUGAUUCGUCACACUAUCAUUAACUGAAUCCAUAGGUUAAUGAGGCGAACCGGGGGAACUGAAACAUCUAAGUACCCCGAGGAAAAGAAAUCAACCGAGAUUCCCCCAGUAGCGGCGAGCGAACGGGGAGSAGCCCAGAGCCUGAAUCAGUGUGUGUGUUAGUGGAAGCGUCUGGAAAGGCGCGCGAUACAGGGUGACAGCCCCGUACACAAAAAUACACAUAUUGUGAGCUCGAUGAGUAGGGCGGGACACGUGGUAUCCUGUCUGAAUAUGGGGGGACCAUCCUCCAAGGCUAAAUACUCCUGACUGACCGAUAGUGAACCAGUACCGUGAGGGAAAGGCGAAAAGAACCCCGGCGAGGGGAGUGAAAAAGAACCUGAAACCGUGUACGUACAAGCAGUGGGAGCACGCUUAGGCGUGUGACUGCGUACCUUUUGUAUAAUGGGUCAGCGACUUAUAUUCUGUAGCAAGGUUAACCGAAUAGGGGAGCCGAAGGGAAACCGAGUCUUAACUGGGCGUUAAGUUGCAGGGUAUAGACCCGAAACCCGGUGAUCUAGCCAUGGGCAGGUUGAAGGUUGGGUAACACUAACUGGAGGACCGAACCGACUAAUGUUGAAAAAUUAGCGGAUGACUUGUGGCUGGGGGUGAAAGGCCAAUCAAACCGGGAGAUAGCUGGUUCUCCCCGAAAGCUAUUUAGGUAGCGCCUCGUGAAUUCAUCUCCGGGGGUAGAGCACUGUUUCGGCAAGGGGGUCAUCCCGACUUACCAACCCGAUGCAAACUGCGAAUACCGGAGAAUGUUAUCACGGGAGACACACGGCGGGUGCUAACGUCCGUCGUGAAGAGGGAAACAACCCAGACCGCCAGCUAAGGUCCCAAAGUCAUGGUUAAGUGGGAAACGAUGUGGGAAGGCCCAGACAGCCAGGAUGUUGGCUUAGAAGCAGCCAUCAUUUAAAGAAAGCGUAAUAGCUCACUGGUCGAGUCGGCCUGCGCGGAAGAUGUAACGGGGCUAAACCAUGCACCGAAGCUGCGGCAGCGACRCUUAUGCGUUGUUGGGUAGGGGAGCGUUCUGUAAGCCUGUGAAGGUGURCUGUGAGGYAUGCUGGAGGUAUCAGAAGUGCGAAUGCUGACAUAAGUAACGAUAAAGCGGGUGAAAAGCCCGCUCGCCGGAAGACCAAGGGUUCCUGUCCAACGUUAAUCGGGGCAGGGUGAGUCGACCCCUAAGGCGAGGCCGAAAGGCGUAGUCGAUGGGAAACAGGUUAAUAUUCCUGUACUUGGUGUUACUGCGAAGGGGGGACGGAGAAGGCUAUGUUGGCCGGGCGACGGUUGUCCCGGUUUAAGCGUGUAGGCUGGUUUUCCAGGCAAAUCCGGAAAAUCAAGGCUGAGGCGUGAUGACGAGGCACUACGGUGCUGAAGCAACAAAUGCCCUGCUUCCAGGAAAAGCCUCUAAGCAUCAGGUAACAUCAAAUCGUACCCCAAACCGACACAGGUGGUCAGGUAGAGAAUACCAAGGCGCUUGAGAGAACUCGGGUGAAGGAACUAGGCAAAAUGGUGCCGUAACUUCGGGAGAAGGCACGCUGAUAYGUAGGUGAAGUCCCUCGCGGAUGGAGCUGAAAUCAGUCGAAGAUACCAGCUGGCUGCAACUGUUUAUUAAAAACACAGCACUGUGCAAACACGAAAGUGGACGUAUACGGUGUGACGCCUGCCCGGUGCCGGAAGGUUAAUUGAUGGGGUCAGCGCAAGCGAAGCUCUUGAUCGAAGCCCCGGUAAACGGCGGCCGUAACUAUAACGGUCCUAAGGUAGCGAAAUUCCUUGUCGGGUAAGUUCCGACCUGCACGAAUGGCGUAAUGAUGGCCAGGCUGUCUCCACCCGAGACUCAGUGAAAUUGAACUCGCUGUGAAGAUGCAGUGUACCCGCGGCAAGACGGAAAGACCCCGUGAACCUUUACUAUAGCUUGACACUGAACAUUGAGCCUUGAUGUGUAGGAUAGGUGGGAGGCUUUGAAGUGUGGACGCCAGUCUGCAUGGAGCCGACCUUGAAAUACCACCCUUUAAUGUUUGAUGUUCUAACGUUGACCCGUGAUCCGGGUUGCGGACAGUGUCUGGUGGGUAGUUUGACUGGGGCGGUCUCCUCCUAAAGAGUAACGGAGGAGCACGAAGGUUGGCUAAUCCUGGUCGGACAUCAGGAGGUUAGUGCAAUGGCAUAAGCCAGCUUGACUGCGAGCGUGACGGCGCGAGCAGGUGCGAAAGCAGGUCAUAGUGAUCCGGUGGUUCUGAAUGGAAGGGCCAUCGCUCAACGGAUAAAAGGUACUCCGGGGAUAACAGGCUGAUACCGCCCAAGAGUUCAUAUCGACGGCGGUGUUUGGCACCUCGAUGUCGGCUCAUCACAUCCUGGGGCUGAAGUAGGUCCCAAGGGUAUGGCUGUUCGCCAUUUAAAGUGGUACGCGAGCUGGGUUUAGAACGUCGUGAGACAGUUCGGUCCCUAUCUGCCGUGGGCGCUGGAGAACUGAGGGGGGCUGCUCCUAGUACGAGAGGACCGGAGUGGACGCAUCACUGGUGUUCGGGUUGUCAUGCCAAUGGCACUGCCCGGUAGCUAAAUGCGGAAGAGAUAAGUGCUGAAAGCAUCUAAGCACGAAACUUGCCCCGAGAUGAGUUCUCCCUGACUCCUUGAGAGUCCUGAAGGAACGUUGAAGACGACGACGUUGAUAGGCCGGGUGUGUAAGCGCAGCGAUGCGUUGAGCUAACCGGUACUAAUGAACCGUGAGGCUUAACCUU